ensembl:lncRNA
CGUUGAUAUGCAGUUGCUAGUGUGUUGCUAGAGCGUUCUUUGCUCUUCUUGGGGAUUUACUUAUUUAGCUUCGAGGGUGUUGCUAGGGGGUUGCUAGAGCGAUCUGUGCUUUUCUUGGGGCGUUACUUAUUUAGCUUCUAGGGUGUUGCUAGGGGGUUGCUAUAGCCAUCUGUGCUUUUCUUGGGGCGUUACUUAUUUAGCUUCUAGUAUGUUGCUAGGGGGUUGCUAUAGCGAUCUGUGCUUUUCUUGGGGUGUUACUUAUUUAGCUUCUAGUAUGUUGCUAGGGGGUUGCUAUAGCAUUCUAUGCUUUUCUUGGGGCAUUGAUAUGCAGUUGCUAGUGUGUUGCUAGAGCGUUCUUUGUUCUUCUUGGGGCUUUACUUAUUUGGCUUCUAGGGUGUUGCUAGGGGGUUACUAAAGCGAUCUGUGCUUUUCUUGGGGCGUUACUUAUUUAGCUUCUAGGGUGUUGCUAGGGGGUUGCUAGAGCGAUCUGUGCUUUUCUUGGGGCGUUACUUAUUUAGCUUCUAGGGUGUUGCUAGGGGGUUGCUAUAGCGAUCUGUGCUUUUCUUGGGGCGUUACUUAUUUAGCUUCUAGGGUGUUGCUAGGGGGUUACUAGAUCGUUCUGUGCUUUUCUUGGGGCGUUACUUAUUUAGCUUCUAGGGUGUUGCUAGAGCGUUCUGUGCUUUUCUUGAGGCGUUGAUAUGCAGCUGCUAGUGUGUUGCUAGAGCGUUCUUUGCUCUUCUUGGGGCUUUACUUAUUUAGCUUCUAGUAUGUUGCUAGGGGGUUGCUAUAGCGAUCUGUGCUUUUCUUGGGGUGUUACUUAUUUAGCUUCUAGUAUGUUGCUAGGGGGUUGCUAAAGCGAUCUGUGCUUUUCUUGGGGUGUUACUUAUUUAGCUUCUAGUGUGUUGCUAGGGUGUUGCUAGAGCGUUCUGUGCUUUUCUUGGGGCGUUACUUAUUUAGCUUCUAGGGUGUUGCUAGAGCGUUGCUAUAGCGAUCUGUGCUUUUCUUGGGGUGUU